rnacentral:lncRNA from 1 species
GAUAGAAAAGAUCCCCUGAAGAUACAAGACAACAGGAGGAAAGCGAACAGCUUCCUCAAGUCUGUGGAUAGGACACUUGUUAGGUUCCACCACCACGGCUUUGCCAUCAAAGAAUUUAACCUUAGUAUGAUGUUCUUCCAUCCUCGGUUCAUGCCACAUCGCGUGGACCGGUGGAUGAAGAUAGUAAGUGAAAGUAGUAGUAUUCAGGUGCUAAAGCUUAAACUUCAACUUGCUGACUGUUUCUUUGGAUGUGAGUUUGACUCACACGGGGUUGAUAAUUAUUACUACUUGUCAGCAGAUGUACUGAAAGCCAAGUCAUUAACUGAAUUAGUGUUGUUAGGGAAGAUUAGAGCAGACAAAUUGAUUGUAAAUCACAGAAUUAGGUUCCCUAUGUUGCGGAUAUUGUCCUUAGUUAAUGUUUAUUUGGGACAUGAACAAGCGCUUGAAGAUCUCAUUUCUGGUUGUCCUAUGAUUGAGCAAUUAAUAUUGGAGCACUGUGUUGGAUUGGAAAAUGUAAAAGUACAUGAUUUGCCUAAGCUAAAGUCUGCUAAGUUUUCUGGAUUUCGUGAAAUUCAUGUUGAUGUGCCGAGUCUAGAGUAUCUUCAUCUUGGUAAUGACGAAUUAGAGUUCCCUUGUGAUAUCAGUAUAGACAAGUGCAGAAAUUUGAAGGUGUUUCUUUUAGGGGCUGUGAGUUCUGUUUUUGUCUCUAACCAAUGGUUGCUUGAACUUUUUGACAAGUUUCCUUUCCUUGAGAGGUUGGAAUUAAGUGGUUGUAUUACAUCUGAGAGCCUAAUGAUCUCCAGUUCUCGCCUCAAGGUUUUGUCCUUCGAUGCUUGUGUAGAGUUGAAGGAAGCUAGGAUCGAUGCGCCGAAUUUAGUGUCAUGUAGAUAUUCUGGACAAUCCAGCCACAUGCCAGCAGCUAUGUCUUUUGUGAACUGUUCAAAUCAGGUGGAUUUUGAUGUUGUCUUCACAAUAGGAUUUCGUAUUAUGGAUUUGAAAAGGCUUAGGGCAUUUCUCCAGAACAUAGCACCAAGAAAUGUUAUGGUAUCCUUGUAUCUUGGAAUCAUGAAAGGUUCAUCUGUAAGUGUACAUUACCAAAUUAUGUUUUAGUUGCUAAAAUAAAACUUUACAUGGAGAACUUUGAUGUCAUUUGUGUUGGAUUUGUAUUUUGGAUGAGCAGAUUGUGUUCAAUGAAGAUGUACUACAAAAUGUUCAAGUCCCUUUGCCAAGGAUCAAAGAAUUGAGGUUAUCGGUAGCUGAAGAAACUGAAGAGUUGUGUGUGCUUCUUAUCAAUGAUUUGUUUUGGAGCUUCCGUCCUGCUAUUAUUUCUUUGAACCUGAAACUCUGCAGCAGAAUAUUCCUUAAGGUUUGUCAUUGAUUCAUUGCCCCUUAACUCCUGAUUUGAUUGUCCAAUGCAUGAUCAAUUUUUUCAGUGGUUUGAUUCGUGAAAAAACAAAAAUCAUUUGAAAGAUAAUAAAAAGGUUAAAGUAACCUUCUAAAGAUUUACUAAGUUGACAAAAUUGAUAAAUGUUAAAUAGUUUUGUUUUUGUUACAUAAAAGACUAACAUGAUACUAUGUAAGAUUAUCAUCAAUUGUAUUUGCCAAUUUUUUAAAUCUAAAGGAUUUUUUUGUGAAUUUUCGUUGUUAGUUCUGAAUCUUUCAGUUUCGGUAGUUUGAAAAUGUUUGAUAACUCCAUUUUCUGAGUGCUAUUGUGUUAAUUUAUUAUAUAUCAAUAUAUAUUGAAAAAAAUGAGAAAGUUUAUGAACCAAUUCUAUAUGCAGUAAAGUAGCCAACUUUUUAAAAAAAAUCUGAUUUUUAAAUUUUAAAAAUUAGUUUUACGCUUAAAAAACAUGUACCCUCCCACCCCCUUCACCUCUCUAAUUCUAGUUGUCAAUUGGCCAAAUCAACAACAGCUAUUAUUGGAGAAGCUAAGGUGCAACAAUGAGGAAGAGAGAUGCUGCAGUUCAAGUCCAAUGAAAUGUUGGUGGCAUGAUUUGAAAGUUGUCAGAGUCAGAAGCUCUCCUGAGAAAUAUGAGAACCUCAGUGAUUGUGAAGCACUCUUGGAUUCUUUGCCAAUAAAUUUUUCUUCCCCGGCUCUGCGGCUUAACUUUCAGUUAGAGUGGGACUCAUUACAGUAAUUCAGUAAGACAGCUUAAAAUAUAAAAUUACAACUGCAAUUUGUUGUGUCAUUUUUGUUUCUUGCCUUCUUAUUGUUGAACUGUUGAUGAACUAGUUGAAAGUAAUUGAUAUGUUCUACUUUAACAUUCACAUCUAAUUUCAUGAAAUGGGAGAAAAUUUUGACUCUGAAUAAAACUUUACAUUUAAAUAUUUAUUAUAUAUUUUAGACUUUUUAAUAUUUUGAAUAAGUAUAAACUAAUUUUCACAAAAUAUUGUUACGUGCUUUCAAAAACUUUUAACUUUUUAAAACUACAAACACAUAUAGCCACCAAAAAAACUACAAACACAUAUACACAAUCGUUUUUAAUUUAUCAUGUAAAAGAUGAUGUAUUUUCAAGUAUAACUAUCUUCUAAAAAAUCUUUAUCAAAUCAUGCCUUAUUGGCUUAUUUUAAUUUACCAUAUGCUAUAAUUUAAAAAAAAAUUAUAUUUAAAAAUUAAUUUUAAUAAACUAAAAGUAAGAGUUUUACUGCACCUAACCACCAAUCCUUACAAUUAAUAUAAUAAAUAAGUAAAUAAAUAUAUUAAUUAACUCAAAUACUUGUCAACAGAAACUAUAAUAAUCCUAGUAUAUGUUAAUAAAAUCUAAUAAUAUUUUCAUCUAUUUACAUCAACCAUACAUUAGAAAAUUACCACAUGGAUAGUCAAUUCGAUCUCUCCUUGAGGUUUGUUAUUCCCUAAGACCUGUUAAAGCAAGAAACGUAUACUUAAACUUAAACGUGAUGAUAGAAUUAAAAGCUAUAUAAUUGUAAUCCAUCCAAUGCUACAACAUUGCCUGGUGGUUAUUUAUUUGCUUGGCUUGGAUUUAUAUUUUCACCUAAACUCAACUCUUUUGGCGGCAGUACUUCUCUGUCCGGCGGCCGCAUCAACGCCGGUCCCAGCGUCAACUAAUUCAUGCUGCAUUGAGGAUUCAUGAUUUGGUUUCCCAACAAUAAAUUAUGAAGAUACCAGGUCCAACUGCAAUCGAAGACCUGUUAUGAAUCAUUGCUUGUGGUUGUUGCAUCCCUAAUGAUCUUCUACUAUGACUAAAAGCAGAAAAAUUAGCAUAAUAAUUUUGCAUAUUAGACUGAGAUGGUGGCUACUAGUAUUAUCUGAUGAUGGCACCAUGUUUCAGCUCUUGAUAAUCAAAACUUUGUAUUCACAAAUUGUGCUUAUCUAGUAUAUGAUAUUGUUGCCUUUUUAGUUCUCCUUAAUUUUAAUUUGCAUUAUAUAUAUACUUUCCAAUUAUAGUAGGGUUUUGAUUUAAUUAGCUAAGUUCAUGCUAUGUUAUUAUAUAUUUUGGCUUUCAAUAUCCAAACAAUUUGAUUCUCACAAGCAUGUGGUUUCUUGAACUUUUCCAUACAUUUUAUGGCCUUGAGAAACUGAAAUUAACGAAAUUGCGUUCUAUCUAGAGAUAUGUAUCUUUCCAGUGGUGCAACUUAAAGCUUUAAAGGUUGCUUGGUGUUCUAAUUUGGAGAAUGCAUGGAUUAAUGCUCCGAAUUUGAUUACUUUUACUUAUCAAGAUUCUAAAUCUUUUUUGACAUUGGCAAAUAUGUCCUUCGCUAGUAUUAAUCUUACUUGUUUCGAAUUUAAUGUUGUAGUUGAUAAUUCAAAAAUAAUACUCUAUUUUAUAAUUAGCUUUUAGAGAAAUAUUAGGGGAGUAAUCUUUUAUUAAUAUAAAUUAAUAUUUUAUUUUUGUAUUAUUAGUAUUUAGAAUUUAAGAUUUAGAAUUUAAAAUUAAAUUUUAGAAUUUAAAAUUAAAAAAAUUUGAUUCAUAUUGACAAAAAAAUUAAUUCAAACUCAUUAUCAUAUACAUAUAUCGAUAAGAAAGUUAAAAGUACAUGUACUAUUUUUUCUUUUAUUUUUAAUUUUUUUUCCUAAAUCCAAACAAAGUGUAAGAGGUAGUCAAAUAUUGAUAAAAAAUAAUAAAUUUUAUUAGUAAUAUAACUUAGUUUAUUUUUUAUUGUUAAAUAUAAAAAUACUAUUUUAGGUUUUGAUUAAUUUUACUGGGGUGUACAUAAGUCGGGUGAAACUGGAUUUACUUUGAUCCAGACCCGACCCUAAAUAAUGAUCGGAUCUAUUUUUGAGAUCCUUAUCCGAUUCUAAACCCGAUAAAAUCACACACUCUUGGGCCACACUAAAACCAGAUCUCUACUAGAUGAAAUCCGAGUCUUAAUAAAUGUUAUGUCAAAAGUUUAUGAUGCACUCAUUUAUAAAGAAGAAAAAAUACUACAUUGAUAACCAUACUUGAACUUGAAUUUGAUCAUAAAUUCUAAUUUUAUGCUUUUUUUUUUAUCUAUUUCCUAAUUCAACAAAUGUGAUUAAAAACAAAACAAUAAGCUUAUAAUAAAUAUAACAUAAUUUUAGCAUUAAUUUAAAACAUAUAUACCUUCUUAGUCCCCUAAGAUGUACAUAGGGUAGAUGAAAUUAGAUUUGCCUUAAUUUGGAUCUAACUCUAAAUAAUGAUGGAAUCUAUUUUUGAAACUCUUACGUGAACCUAAACUUCGUAAAAUCACACUAAAUUAAUUCCAAAAUAUUCGAGUCAGGGAGGGCCGGAUCUUCGAACCGGGCGGGUCAUGUAUACCCCCUAAAUUCCACUAUCUCCUCCCAUUCCUUCCUUUUACUGUUUUAAAUGCAACACUAGUUUCAAACGGAAGAAAGUUGAUUAAACCUUAACCUGAAAUAUUUGAUGAGUCAUAUUUGACAUGACAAGGCACUGGCAGGGAAGAAAGAAAGAUAGUUGCCUGAAAAAUAAAUUCAAUAAUUCAUAGCAGAUGAAGAUCUUGAUGAGAUAGGUUUUUCACACUUUACCAAAAUCUCAAUGCACAUCAACGAUCUCAGCCUCAGCAAUUCUUCAACACACUGGUAUGCAAUUUACACUCAAACAGCUUUUUCAUACACUUGCAUCCCACUACAACCUUUCAUUUCAAUAUAUCAAUGACCUUUCUCUUCUAUUAUUAUGAAAGUUAUUAGCAUAGAAUUGUUGAAUGUAAUUGAAGAACAUUGUUUAAUCCUUAGUAAUUGUUUGUUAGGGGAGCUCAGAGUUUUUAUUAAGGAGAUGGACAAAAUUUCUGAUCUGCCAAAGAUAAUCCUUCAUGACAUUCUUUCAAGGUUGCCUUACGAAGAUGCUGCAAGGACCAGUGUUUUGUCCAAGGCUUGGCAUGAAACAUGGUCCUCAUUCCCCAUCUUGGUCUUCCACGGCUCUCGAUGCGUGCGCGUGCACGUGAAGGAUAGAAAAGAUCCCCUGAAGAUACAAGAAAACAGGAGGAAAGUGAACAGCUUCCUCAAAUCUGUGGACAGGACACUUGUUAGGUUCCACCACCACGGCUUUGCCAUCAAAGAAUUUAACCUGAGUAUGAUGUUCUUCCAUCCUCUGUUCAUGCCACAUCUCGUUGACCGGUGGAUGAAGAUAGUAGGUGAAAGUAGUAGUAUUCAGGUGCUAAAGCUUGAACUUCAACUUGCUGGCUGUUUCUUCGGAUGUGAUUUUGACUCUCAUGCGGUUGAUAAUUAUUACUGCUUGCCACCAGAUGUACUGAAAGCCAAGUCAUUAACUGAAUUAGUGUUGUUCGGGAAGAUUAGAGCAGACAAAUUGAUUGUAAAUCACAGAAUUAGGUUCCCUAUGUUGCGGAUAUUGUCCUUAGUUGAUGUUUAUUUGGGACAUGAACAAGCUCUUGAAGAUCUCAUUUCUGGUUGUCCUAUGAUUGAGGAAUUAAUAUUGGAGCACUGUGUUGGAUUGGAAAAUGUAAAAGUACAUGAUUUGCCAAAGCUAAAGUCUGCUAAGUUUUCUGGAUUUCGUGAAAUUCAUGUUGAUGUGCCGAGUCUAGAGAAUCUUCAACUCGGUAAUGACAAAUUAGAGUUCCCUUGUGAUAUCAGUAUAGACAAGUGCAGAAAUUUGAAGGUGCUUAUUUUAGAGGCUGUGAGUUCUGUUUUUGUCUCUAACCAAUGGUUGCGUGAACUUUUUGACAAGUUUCCUUUCCUUGAGAGGUUGGAAUUGAGUGGUUGUGUUACAUCUGAGAGCCUAAUGAUCUCCAGUUCUAGGCUCAAGGUUUUGUCCUUCCAGGCUUGCUUAGAGUUGAAGGAAGCUAAGAUCGAUGCGCCGAAUUUAGAGUCAUGUAGAUAUUCUGGAAAAUCCAGCCACAUGCCAGCAGCUAUAUCUUUUGUGAAUUGUUCAAAUCAGGUGGAUUUUGAUUUUGGCUUCCCACUAGAAUCUCGUAUGGAUUUGAAAAGGCUUAGGGCAUUUUUCCAGAACAUAGCACCAAGAAAUGUUAUGGUAUCCUUGUAUCUUGGAAUCAUGAAAGGUUCAUCUGUAAGUGUACAUUACCAAAUUCUGUUUUAGUUGCUAAAAUAAAACUUUACAUGGGAACUUUUGAUGUCAUUUGUGUUGGAAUUGUAUUUUUGAUGAGCAGAUUUUGUUCAAUGAAGAUGUACUACAAAAUGUUGAAGUCCCUUUGCCAAGGAUCAAACAAUUGAGGUUAUCGGUAACUGAAGAAACUGAAGAGUUGUGUGUGCUUCUUAUCAAUGAUUUGUUUUGGAGCUUCCGUCCUGCUAUUAUUUCUUUGAACCUGAAACUCUGCAGCAGAAUAUUCCUUAAGGUUUGUCAUUGAUUCAUUGCCCCUUAACUCCUGAUUUGAUUGUCCAAUGCAUGAUCAAUUUUUUCAGUGGUUUGAUUCGUGAAAAAACAAGAAUCAUGUGAAAGAUAAUAAAAGGGUUAAAGUAGCCUUCUAAAGAUUUACUAAGUUGACAAAAUUGAUAAAUUGUUAAAUAGUUUUGAUUUUAUUACAUAUAAAAGACUGACAUGAUACUAUGUAAGAUUAUCAUCAAUUGUAUUUGCCAAUUUUUUAAAUCUAAAGGUUUUUUUGUGAAUUUUAUUUGUUAGUUCUGAAUCUUUCAGUUUCUGUAGUUUGAAAAUGUUUGAUAACUCUAUUUUCUGAGUGCUAUUGUGUUAAUUUAUUAUCUAUCAAUACAUAUUAAAAAAAUGAGAAAGUUUAUGAACCAAUUCUUUAUGCAGUAAAGUAGCAAACUUUUUAAAAGAUUCUGAUUUUAAAUAUUAAAAACUAGUUUUAUGUUUAAAAAACACGUACUCUUUUACUUUCUUCACCUCUCUUCUCCUCUUUUUCGGCAUCUUUCUUCUUCUCCUUCUUUUUUCCUUCUGCACUGCCUCUCCCUCCAUAUUGGUUCUUCUUCUUCUUCUUCUUCUCGGGAUCACUUUUUUCAAAGUUUUUGUACAAUAAUUUUAAAUAUUUCUUUUUGUUAUGUUAAAAUUUUUUUUGUUAGGUUAAAAAUAUUCUUUUAUAAUGAUUUUGAAUGUUUCUUUUUGUUUAGUUUUAGAUGUGUCAUUUGUUAUAUUUUAAUGCUUCUUUUUUAAAAAUCAAGAAUCAUAAAAAAAAUCAAAACAAUUUUUUUAAUCAAGACGAGCACGACGGAGGGAAUGACCGAUGACAACGUCGGAGAGAAGUGCACGGAAGAGGGGGCAAUGGCACGGCGGAGGGAAGCAAACGUACGGCGGAGAGAAGCAAAGGUGUGGUGGAGGAAAGCGCAUGCACAUGCACGGAGGAGGAAAGCGCUGCUAAAGAAAGCGGUUUUUUUAGAAGAAAGAUGCGGAGUGGGAAGUGAAGAGAUUAGCAUUUCAGAUAACUUUUUUGUUUUUACUGUGAUAAUAAAACUGACUUUUUAGAAUGAAUUACAUGUUGUUUUUGAUCUUUUCUGAACCUCUUUAUAAUCCAACUAAUAAUUGAUUAUAAUUGGCUCUUUAUCUAGAAAGAUUAUAAAAAGAUUUAUUUACAUCUCCUUAAAGCAUAUAGGGAAAAUUAUCACUAUGAAUAUUUUUUAAAAAUAGAAAGUAUAAUUUACGAUAGGAAAAGUAUAGAUAGACAAUAAAAAUAUUAAACAAUGUGAACAAUAGAUAUAUUGGAUGUUCAUUUCACUAGGUGCAUAGAUGGUUAUUUUAAUAUUAAAAUUUAGAUGAUUAAUUUGAAAGUGUAAUGUGUUUUUAUUUGAUUGGUGGUUGUUCAUGUUGUUCAAAAUGAUAUUAUUUACCUAAUAUUCUCCGAUAGGAAAAUAUAUAGUUAAAAGUUAAAGAUCUAAUUCUAGUUUGUCAAUUGGCCAAAUCAACAACAGCUAUUAUUGGAGAAGCUAAGGUGCAACAACGAUGGAGAGGAGUGCAGUUCAAGUCAAAUAAAAUGUUGGUGGCAUGAUUUGAAAGAUGUCAAAGUCACAAGCUCUCCUAAGAAAUAUGAGAACCUCAAUGAUUGUGAAGCACUCUUGGAUUCAUUGCCAAUAAAUUUUUUUUCCCCGGAUCUGCCGCUUAACUUUGAGUUAGAGUGGAACUCAUUACGAUAAGACAAUAUAAAAUUACAACUGCAAUUUGUUAUGUGGUUUUUAUUAUUAUUUUUUUCUUGUUUUCUUUGUGUUGAACUGUUGAAAGUUGAAAGUAAUUGAUAUGUUCUUCUUUAACAUUUACAUCUAAAUUUCAUAAUGCAUGAUGUUUUAACUUUCAACUAUACUAUAAUAGAAAAUUUCUUUCAACAUAAAAAAUAAAUUAUUAUUAAAAAUAGAGUCCCGCUAGGAAGACAAUGGACUAUUUGUCAUCCCAAAAGCUUCAACUGAUGGGAAAAAAUAACACUAAUGGUUAUAUCUCUAAUACUUCUUAAACCUCCAUUGUACACAUUGUCAAAAUAUUCCAUUAGCUCUUCAUACUUUCCCUUAAAAAUAAGUUAUUUCACACAAUUUUAACAUUUUAUAUCAGACUAAUCAAGCUUUCUUGUCAAAGAUUUUUCAUCAAAAUAAUUAAAUUUAUAAAAGAUUUUAUAUUAAAAUAAUCAAAUAUCUUGUUACAGAAUAAUCAAAUACUUCUUACAACAGUACAUUCAAACUAUUUUUUUGUAAAUAAUACAUAAAUAUUAUUUUUUUUGUGACUANNNNNNNNNNNNNNNNNNNNNNNNNNNNNNNNNNNNNNNNNNNNNNNNNNNNNNNNNNNNNNNNNNNNNNNNNNNNNNNNNNNNNNNNNNNNNNNNNNNNNNNNNNNNNNNNNNNNNNNNNNNNNNNNNNNNNNNNNNAUUUUGGACAGAUUACUUAAAUAAAAUAAAUAGUAAUUAAAAUUAUUUAUAUACAAUUUUUACAAAAAAAAUAUCCAUAUACACUUUUUUAAUAAUUCUGUGUAAAUCGCUAUAGGAUAUAGUAGUUUACGAAAAUAACAAAAAUCGCUAUAAGCUAACGUAUUUUUCAUGGUGAAUGAUCAAAAAUCGCUCUCAAGUGUAGGAUAUCUGAAGGAGGUGAAGCAAGUAUGAACCGCUGGAAAGACCAGCGGUUUAUGAUAAUAUGUUUUCCGGUGCUACACCAUGUAACAGAUUAUACACGUUUAUAAAAGGUAUAUGAGUAACAAAGUGUCUUCUCUUUUAUGUUGUUUUGGGUAUAUAAAAUUUGUUUUUGUUUUUCGAGUACGCCAAGAACUAAUGCAUCACUAUGACUAAUUUAUCACCAUGCACAAGACAAAAUUUAAAUCUUCAAUACGAACUAAUGAACUAACAACUAGAUCAACCUAAAUUAAUUUGUGACAUAAUUUAAAAUUAAGUUGUUUUAUUAAAUUUUUUAUAAUAGCCCUGCCACUUUAAAUAAAAAUAAAAUAAGAUAAAAAAGUUCCAAUUUAAUUUACAAAAUAAAUUAUUUUAUCUCUGUAUUAUUUAUUUAGUUUGUACCUUUUUCUUUAAUUUUUUAAAACUUAAUUGUUAGGAUUAAUUUUUUUAAUUCACAGAGAAGAUAAGAAUUUUAUUAAUAGUAUUGUGAUAUUAUAGUAAAGUAAGUUCUAGAUCCCAACAAAAUAUAUAUGACACACAUCUUAUAUUUAUUUUCUAUUUUUACCUACUAUGUCAAACACAAUAAAACACAUUACACCAUAAAUUUAUUGUUAGUGUUUGGUGUUUUAUUGUGUAUGAUAUGGUAGAUGAAAAUAGAAAACAAAUGUGAAAUGUGUGUCAUGUAUAUUUUGUUGGGGUCUAGAACUUGUACUAUAAAGAAAAGCAAGCUAUAUACAAACAAAACUACAUGCGACAAAAAAAAUAGAAUUAAAACUGAGAUUUCAUUCCACACACAAUGUUAAAUACAAAUUUAAUAAUAAAAAUAAAGUGGUAAAAUAUAAAAAAAUUUCCUANNNNNNNNNNNNNNNNNNNNNNNNNNNNNNNNNNNNNNNNNNNNNNNNNNNNNNNNNNNNNNNNNNNNNNNNNNNNNNNNNNNNNNNNNNNUUUAAAAAAAUUAAAGAAAAAAGUAUAAACUAAAUAAAUAAUAUAAAGAUAAAAUAAUUUAUUUUGUAGAUUAAAUUAGAACUUUUUUAUUUUAUUUUAUUUUUAUUUAAUUUAUUAGGUCUAUUAUAAAAAAUUUAAUAAAACAACUUAAUUUUAAUUCAUGUCAUUAAUUAAGUUAGAUUAGUCUAAUUAUCAACUCAUUAGUCCGUAUUGGAGAUUUAAAUUUCGUCUUGUGAUUUAUACUUGUUUUACCUCCUUCGUCUGAUCAUUCACAUGCCGCAUGAAAAUCCAACAGUUUACGUUGAAUUAUAAAUAAGUGUAUAUAGGUAACUUACUCUAAAAAUAAUGUAUUUACAAGUAUAAAUAUAUUCUCAAAAAUUUUUAUCAAAUCAUGUCUUAUUUUAAUUUGUCAUAUGCUAUAUUUUUUAAAAAAUUAUAUUUAAAAAUUAAUUUUAAUAAACUAAAAUAAGAAUUUUACCUCAGCUAACCACCAAUUUUUACAAUUAAUAUAAUAAAUAAAUAAAUAAAUAUAUUAAUUAACUCAAAAACUUGUCAAUAGAAACUAUAAUAAUCCUAGUAUAUGUUAAUAAAAUCUAAUAAUAUUUUCAUCUAUUUAUAUCAACUAUACAUCAAAAAAUUACCACAUGCAUAGUCAAAUCAAUCUCCCCUUGAGGUUUGUUAUUCCCUAAACCUGUUAAAGCAAGAAACGUAUACUUGAUGAUAGAAUUAAAGGCUAUAUAAUUGUAAUUCAUACAAUGCUACAACAUUACCUGGGGUUAUUUAUUUGCUUGGCUUGGAUUUAUAUUUUCACCUAAACUCCACUCUUUUGGCAGCAGUACUUCUCUGUCCACGGCGGCAUCAACGCCGGUCCCAGCGUCAAGUAAUGCAUGCUGCAUUGAGGAUUCAUGAUUUGGUUUCCCAACAAUACAUUAUGAAGAUACCCAGGUCUAACUGCAAUGGAAGACCUAUUAUGAAUCAUUGCUUGUGGUUGUUGCAUCCCUAAUGUUCUUCUACUAUGACUAAAAGCAGAAAAAUUAGCAUAAUAAUUUUGCAUAUUAGACUGAGAUGGUGAUGAGUAGUUCCUAAAUGCCCUCCUAAGUCCUAAAGCUUAGCUAUUGGAGAAUUUCUUGUUACACGAAUAUUUUUUUAGUAUAUGUUAAUUACUACAACAACCAAGGCUCAUCCAUAAAAUUCUUUGUCCUACUUUUGAACUUAUUUUUGUCUCCUCUCAUUGAUCAUAGGAUAGACUGGCCUUGAUGAGGAGCUAUACUUGGAAUUUGAAUCCAAUAGAGCAAACCAGCGUGCCAUUGGUGAAUUGUAUUGCUUUUAAUUAUUAAUAAACAAAAUAAUAAUUUAUAAAAUAGAGAAUAAAUUUAAUAAUUAAAUAAUAUAUAAAAGAUUAAGUUAUAGUUAAAAUUAAAUAAAAAAUAUUUAUUAAUUAUUAAAAAACUUAAAAAAUAUAUAUUUUGUCUUAGACCAUCCAAUCCUAUGUUCACUUUUUGUAUGUUUCUACUUCCUACUCUUAACAAUAGAACCGCUAAUAGGUACAUAUGUAGGUUUUCAGUUUGAUUCUCACAAGCAUGUGGCUUCUUGAGAAACAGAAAUGAACGAAAUUGGAUUCUAUCUAGACAUAUGCAUUUUUUCAGUGUGCAACUUAAAGUUUUAAAGAUUGCUUGGUGUUUUAAUUUGGAGAAUGUAUGGAUUAAUGCUCCCAGUUUGAUUAUUUUUACUUAUCAAGAUUCUAAAUCUUCUGUGGCAUUGGCAAAUGUGUCCUUUGCUAGUAUUAUUCUUACUUGUUUCGAAUUUGAUGUUGUGGUUAACAAUUCAAAAAUAAUACUCUAUUUUAUAAUUAGCUUUUAGAGAAAUAUUAGGGAGUAAUCUUUUAUUAAUAUAAACUAAUAUUUUAUUUUUGUACUAUUAGUAUUUAGGAUUUAAGACGNNNNNNNNNNNNNNNNNNNNNNNNNNNNNNNNNNNNNNNNNNNNNNNNNNNNNNNNUAACUUAGUUUAAUUUUUAUUGUUAAAUAUAAAAAUACUAUUUUAAGUUUUGAUUAAUUUCACUAUCUUUUACUGUUUUACAUGCUACACAAGUUUCAAACGGGAGAAAGUUGAUUAAACCUUAACCUGAAAUAUUUCAUGAGUCAUAUUUGACAUGACAAGGCACUGGCAGAGAAGAAAGAAAGAUAGUUGCUUGAAAAAUAAAUUCAAUAACUCAUAGCAGAUGAAGAUCUUGAUGAGAUAGGUUUUUCACACUUUACCAAAAUCUCAUCAGUCUCAGCAAUUCUUCAACACACUGGUAUGCAUUUUACACUCAACUUUUUCAUAUACUUGCAUCUCACUAGAACUUUUCAUUUCAAUAUAUCAAUGACUUUGAAUGUAAUUGAAGAACAUUACUUAAUCCUUAGUAAUUGUUUCUGUUAGGGGAGCUCAGAGGUCUUAUUAAGGAAAUGGACAAAAUUUCUGAUCUGCCAAAGAUAAUCCUCCAUGACAUUCUUUCAAGAUUGCCUUACAAAGAUGCUGCAAGGACCAGUGUUUUGUCCAAGGCUUGGCAUGAAACAUGGUCCUCAUUCCCCAUCUUGGUCUUCCACGGCUUUGACCAAGGCGUGUUCUUGCGCUUUGAGGAUACAAAUGAUCCCCUGAAGAUACAAGAUCACAGAAGGAAAGUCAGCAACUUCCUCAACUCUGUGGACAGAACACUUGUUAGGUUCCACCACCACGGCUUCGCCAUCAAAGAAUUCAGCCUUAGUAUGACGUUCUUCCAUCCUCAGUUCAUGCCACAUCGCGUCGAUCGGUGGAUGAAGAUAGUAGGUGAAAGUAGUAGUAUUCAAGUGCUAAAGCUUAAACUUAAAGUUGUUGACUAUUGCCGUGGAUUUGAGUUUGACUCUGACACGGUUGAUAAUUAUUACUGCUUGCCACCAGAUGUAGUGAAGGCAAAGUCAUUAACUGAAUUAGAGUUGUCAGGGAAGAUUAGAGUGGAUAAAUUGUUUGUAAAUCACAGAAUUAGGUUCCCUAUGUUGCGGAUAUUGUCCUUAAUUGAUGUUUAUUUGGGACAUGAUCAAGCCAUGGAAGAUCUCAUUUCUGGUUGUCCUAUGAUUGAAGACUUGAAAUUGGAGCACUGUGUUGGAUUGGAAAAUGUAAAAGUACAUGAUUUGCCUAAGCUAAAGUCUGCUAAGUUUUAUGGAUUUCGUGAAAUUCAUGUUGAUGUGCCAAGUCUAGAGUAUCUUCAUCUUGGUAAUGACGAAUUAGAGUUCCCUUGUGAUAUCAAUAUAGACAAGUGCAGAAAUUUGAAGGUGCUUCUUUUAGAGGCUGUGAGUUCUGUUUUUGUCUCUAACCAAUGGUUGCUUGAACUUUUUGACAAGUUUCCUUCACUUGAGAGGUUGGAAUUAUGUGGUUGUAUUACAUCUGAGAGCCUAAUGAUCUCCAGUUCUAGGCUCAAGGUUUUGUCCUUCUGGGCUUGCUUAGAGUUGAAGGAAGCUAAGAUCGAUGCACCGAAUUUAGAGUCAUGUAGAUACUUUGGAACUCACAGCCACAUGCCAGCAGCCAUAUCUUUUGUGAACUGUUCAAAUAAGGUGGAAUUUGAUGCUGUCUUCGCAAUCGAAUUUCGUCUGGAUUUGGAAUGGCUUAGGGCAUUUUUCCAGCACAUAGAACCAAGAAAUGUUACCUUGUCUCUUAGAAUCAUGAAAGAUUCAUCUGUAAGUGUACAUUACCAAAUUCUGUUUUAGUUGCUAAAGUAAAACUUUACAUGGAGAACAAGUAGUUGCUGUUGUAAGUUUAAGCUGUUUUUGUCUAUGUUAUAUGUAACAUCGUAUUAGUUGUCCAUUUAUGCAUGAUACCACAUUUUUCCUUAGAUAGUUAAAUGUCACUUUUUUGCACUCGAAUUUCUUAUUAAAAUGAUACCCGCUUGGAUUGAUUACCAUUGAAUGAAUGUUUUGGUGUUAUUAAUAACCGAGGGUCCAAUGUGAUGUCACAUUUACCCAUCUUAAGACCAAAUGGUUGUUUUUAUAUCUAUAUUCUGUUAUUAAACUCGAGUUAACUCUGAUAAUUAGGUUCUGUAAUCGAGUUUACAAUUCUAAUGUAAAUGCUUACAAGCUUCUGAUUCCUCAUGUAAACUGUUAUGAGUUUAGUUUUAUGAUUCAUGUGUUUGAUUACCGGACUAUUGAGGCCGAAUACUAUUGGGCGAGCCUUAUUGUCUAUGGAACAUUGAAUUUUAUUCUUUUAUUUGUUCAAAUUUAACUUGUGCUUAUUUGAGUCAUACACUAGUUUCAUUCUUUAAUAUCUGAUUUUUCUUUUCUUUCUUUCCAGGGACAUACUGCUGGCCUUUUCAAUUUGGGAAAUACCUGUUAUAUGAACUCAACAUUACAAUGUCUCCAUUCUGUGCCAGAGUUGAAGUCAGCUUUGAUUCAGUGAGUCCUUUCUGAGGGAACAUUAGUUGGCAACUUUCUUUCAUGCAUUUAUGGCCUAUACCUGAACAAUGUAUGCAAACUCUCCUGGACUCAGGUACUCACAUUCAGGAAGGAACAAUGAUGUUGACCAGUCUUCUCAUCUGUUGACAGUUGCUACCCGUGACUUAUUCAAUGAGCUUGAUAAAAGUGUCAAGCCUGUGGCGCCAAUGCAAUUUUGGAUGGUACAUUAUCUAACUAGACUGCUGCUAUAUUUUUUAAGAAUCUUUUUUAUUUCCAUCCUUAUAUGUUAUGAUGUCAUACGAUUUUGGGAUGACCUUUUUUCCUUUCUAUAUUGGAAUGUUACAAUAUCUAUCCACAAUAGUGCAUAUUUGAAGUGCUAGUAACACAUUGGUUUUGGAUAGAUAUCUUUAGAAUUCUGGUUCAAACUUCUGGUUUCAAUUCAGUUGAAAGCAAUUUGUUUAUGAUUUUAUAAUAGUACAUUUGAAAUUUCAUAAUAUGUAUUAGGUUGAUUAUUGUUGAAAUUCUGAUACAAAUAUUUGGAUACUUGUUAUUGUGGUACUUUUGUGAUGAAUUGAUUUCUAUUCAUUUGGUAUACAUUAGACCUCUUGAAAGAGUAAUAUUGCUGUUUUUUGUUUCAUUAUUGUAAGAUUUUAUAAUCAGUUACUCUUUGCUUCAUGGGAAAUAAAUUGUGGGAUAUUCUUGAAUUAUCCAAAGUAGUGCUUUUUCCAUUGAAUAGGCAUUGAAUGAGCCUUUCCUUUAAUGGUUGGGAGAAGACUCCGUUAAAUAUGAUUUCUGCGUACUGUCUAUCCUUCAGGAUGGAAGUCUUUCUGUAGGACCCGUCUUUUAUAGUUCCCCAUAUUUAUCACCUCUGCUUAUGUUUUGAAAUCAUUGUUUAUCAUUUUCCAUUUCUUGUGAUAUUUCAUGAGGAUAAGUUGCUCUCAUUGUGAAUUGAAACUCUUUCUUCAUAUAUUAUAUGUAUUUUAAUACCUGGUUAUUGUUUUAUUCAUGUUUCAUUAUGAUUGAUGGAAAGUGAUUUUGUUCUGAUUUGUUAAUGCAUUUCCAGUUAUUGAGGAAGAAGUACCCUCAAUUUGGCCAGCUGCAUAAUGGAGUGUUCAUGCAACAGGUUUAUAUGUAGAAUGUCACUUUGUUAAUUUAGUUUAGUUUAGUUUUUUUAAAAUAAAUGACUCAUGUUAUUUUCCAUGUCAAACAGGAUGCUGAAGAAUGUUGGACACAACUUCUAUAUACACUUUCUCAGUCUCUAAGAUCUAAUGGAUCUAGGUAAUUUUGCCCUUGCUUUUCAGUAACUAAAUGCAAUUGCUGCAAUUCUUGUAACCAUAUUUAUUUGUGACGAAGGUCAACUUGUAAAAAUUUAGAUUUUAUCUAGAAUCAGAAGUUGUAAAAUUGUAAAUUGUAGAAUUGUGACACAGAUGGAAAACAUGAAUAAUAAAUGAACAAAAUAUUACAUUUUUAUACAAGAUAUCAUAAAUAAUCACGUUUGACAUGAUUAAACUUGAAAUAAAAUGCACAAUUCUUCAUUAAUAAUUCCAUUGUCACAUAGCUUUCAACACAGGUAAUAAAACAGAAAUAUAUAAUUAUCCAACAAAUUAUCACUUAAAAAUAAGGAGUUAGGAGUGAUAAUAUAACUCUAUCUGCUUCUGACACUCAUUGUCUGUGUCCAUAGGUGAAAAAGCUACGCAGAUGACUGGAAUAUAUGAUUUGGUUGCCGUAUUGACCCACAAGGGUAGAAGUGCUGAUUCGGGGCAUUAUGUUGGUUGGGUCAAGCAAGAAAAUGGUGUGGAUCUUGGAUAACACAUUAUGUUCUUGAUUUUUUUUUUCCUCCAUGUCUUUUCAAAGUAACUUAAUAGUUAUUUUGUUGUUUGUAGGGAAGUGGAUAGAGUUUGAUGAUGACAACCCCAAACCCAGAAUAGAAGACGACAUCACUAGACUAUCUGGAGGAGGUGAGAAUAUGCAGAAUUAAUGUGUGGAUAUGGAUAAUAUGAAAAAAUUAUCUAUCAUCCCCUUUUACAAUUGAGCCUAUCAUACCAAGUAAAAAACGAAUUUGCAUGAGUUCCUCUUUCUUUUUCUUCCUUCACCGGCUUAGCUCAAUCAUUAUAGUUUAAUCCAUCCUUUUCUUCUCGUUAUUAUUUGUGGGUGAGAUAAUAGAUUAAUAAUAAAUUGUUAUAUGAUGUUUGUCUCUAGGUGAUUGGCACAUGGCUUACAUAAUCAUGUACAAGGCUCGUGUUGUAUCUGUUUAAUUGUUCGGAGAAAGAGUCCAUUUCCUGUCUUUUGUGAGAUUCAAGGAUUGGUGUAAAAGGAUGGUAUACGGUUGUUUAUAUUUAAGAUUCAAGGAUUGUGUAAAAGAAUGGUCUGUUCUUUGCUUGUAUUUUACCCAUGAGGUUGAUAUUAGUUAGUAUUUUUUACUUGUUGAAUUAGCCAUUGUAUUUUUAAUUUAUUUUUAAAAUGGAUAUAUAAGGAUUUGAACCGAAAUUUUGUUGGUGACUGUUCUCCUUAACUCCCGAGAGCUCUGAUAGAUCGAAGUUAUAUCUCUAGGACAAGCAUGUUUGCAUCUAUUUUUUUUUUUUUGGCCCUUCCAGUCAAGGUCACCAUUUCAUAUCAUAAACAAGGUGUAUAGAAUCAUCAACAUUAUAAUGUAUCAAAGUCGGUUGUCAGGCUUGGGUUUCACUUGGUUUGGUGUUUUGUUUGCCGCCGGCGGAAGCGGGGAAGAGGGAGAGUACAUUAAUGACAAACUUGAUUGCUAGCUACCACUCUUCUAUAUUGCAUCACUAUCUGAUACUAAUAGUGGCAGGUUAACAAGAAACAAAAUCAUACAUUUAGAAUUCUUUUCUUUUUUAUUCUUUUAAUAAAAUUAUAGGGAGUCGUUCAAAUUCACAAACUGUUUUUGUCUAAACUUGUAAGCCUAGAGCCUACAUUAUGUUCUUUUGUGUUCGUGCGUUAGGCAUUGGGCUGAUAUUUUUUGUUACUUUUUAUGAAAACCGGGGUGCACUAGGUUCGAAUCCUAGCCAUGACUAGGAAGUUGAUAUAUAGAAUCCAUGGCAAAAGGGAAGGGGUGUGUCUGUAAGGGUAUAACUUGACAAAAAAGAAAAACUAAGGGGAAUGUAAAUUACAGAAUAAGAUAAUUCAUAAUUGCCAAUGAUCAAUUUUCUAGUGAGAAAUUUGUCGUUUUUAGCAAAGUAUCUGGAUUCUUUUCCUUGUUUUUAGGUGCAUUAUUUGCUUGCUCAGCCCGGCUUCUCACUAUACCAUUGUUCAAACAUUCUUUACAAAACCAAAAUUUAGCGGAUAGUCAUGUUGAAGACUGAAAGGAAUCAAUAUAAUUCGACUUGAUCUUAGUUUCCCUAGGCAUUUCGGGUUGAACACUUGAACCUCACUCUCCAGUUCACUGAAGCAUAGCCUACUUUUGGCAUUUGGACAAGUUAAUAACUUAAAACUUAACACAAUGUUUGGUUGGAGGAAAAAUGAGUGAAAAAUGAUAUUUUCCUUUGUUUGGUUAUCAAAGAAAAUAGAAAGGAAAGAAAAUAGAAAAGAAAUUGCCAUAUUUUUUACAUUUUCAAUACUACCCUUAGUUAUAUUAUUAUUAACAAUUAUUAAUAUAAAUUUAGUUUUAAUAUAUUAUUAUAAUAGAAAUUUAUAUUUAAAUAUUAUAUGUAUUAGAUAAAUAAUUUAAAUCAAAUAUAUAAAAUUAUAAUAUUUUAUAAUAUUUAUAAAAUAUAAUAAAACAUGAAUAAAUAAAAAUAUUUAUACUUUAUUUUAUGAUAAGGGUAUUAAUGUAAUUUUAUACUAUUAUGAUUUUCUUUCUUCUCACUUUUCUUUCCAUCCAAACAAAAGAAAAUUUCUUUCUAUUUUCUUUCUAUCUAUUUUCUAUUUUUUCUUUUAUUUUUAAUUUUUUUUCCUAAAUCCAAACAAAGUGUAAGAGGUAGUCAAAUAUUGAUAAAAAAUAAUAAAUUUUAUUAGUAAUAUAACUUAGUUUAUUUUUUAUUGUUAAGUAUAAAAAUACUAUUUCAAGUUAUGAUUAAUUCCACUAUCUCCUCGCACUCCUUCCUUUUGCUGUUUUACAUGCUACACAACUUUCAAAUGGGAGAAAGUUGAUUAAACCUUAACCUGAAAUAUUUGAUGAGUCAUAUUUGACAUGACAAGGCACUGGCAGGGAAGAAAGAAAGAUAGUUGCUUGAAAAAUAUAUUCAAUAAUUCAUAGCAGAUGAAGAUCUUGAUGAGAUAGGUUUUUCACACUUUACCAAAUGUUAUGUCUCUACUGGGUGAAGUCUGGGUCUUGAUAAAUGUUAUGUCAAAAAAUUAUGAUGCACUUAUUUAUAAAGAAGAAAAAUACUUAUUGCAGAGAAGUUGAUAACCAUACUUGAAUUUAAAUUUGUUCAUAAAUUCUAAUUUCAUAUUUUUUUUAUCUAUUUUCUAAUUCAACAAAUGUAAUUAAAAAUAAAACAAUAAACUUAUAAUUAAUAUAACAUAAUAUUAUAAUUAAUUCAAAAUAUAUAUAUUUUUUUAGUCCCUCUAAAGUGCAUAUGGGGUAGGUGAAACUGGGUUCGCCUAGGAUUAGAUCAUCUCCGGUGAACAAAAAAUUGGAUGGUGUCAAUUGUGAUCUCUCAUCCUUCAUUGCUCUCUCUCAUAUUUAAUUUUGGUCCCACUCAUAAAGUUAAUGGUGAGAGAUCACACUGUAUUUCUUCAAGUGUUAAAAAAAAUUAGAGAGAAUCCGAACCCAACUCUAAAUAAUGAUGAAUCUAUUUUUAAAAUUCUUACCUGAUGCUAAAUCCUAAUACCACACUAAAUUAAACCCAAAAGAUUCAAAUCCAGGCCGGAUCUUCGGACCGGCCAGGUCAUCUGUACCCCUAAAUUCCACUAUCUCCUCCCACUCCUUCCUUUUACUGUUUUACAUGCUACACAACUUUCAAACGGGAAAAAGUUCUUUAAACCUUAACCUGAAAUAUUUGAUGACUCUUAUUUGAUAUGACAAGGCACAGGCAGGGAAGAAAGAAAGAUAGUUGCUUGAAAAAUAAAUUCAAUAAUUCAUAGCAGAUGAAGAUCUUGAUGAGAUAGGUUUUUCACACUUUACCAAAUUCUCAAUGCACAUCAACGAUCUCAGUCUCAGCAAUUCUUCAACACACUGGUAUGCAAUUUACACUCAAACAGCUUUUUCAUACACUUGCAUCCCACUACAACCUUUCAUUUCAAUAUAUCAAUGACACUUCUCUUCUAUUAUGAUGAAAGUUAUUAGCAUAGAAUUAUUGAAUGUAAUUGAAGAACAUUAUUUAAUCCUUAGUAAUUGUUUCUGUUAGGGGAGCUCAGAGAUUUUAUUAAGGAAAUGGACAAAAUUUCUGAUCUGCCAAAGAUAAUCCUGCAUGACAUUCUUUCAAGGUUGCCUUACGAAGAUGCUGCAAGGACCAGUGUUUUGUCCAAGGCUUGGCAUGAAACAUGGUCCUCAUUCCCCAUCUUGGUCUUCCACGGCUCUCGAUGCGUGCGCGUGCACGUGAAGGAUAGAAAAGAUCCCCUGAAGAUACAAGAAAACAGGAGGAAAGUGAACAGCUUCCUCAAAUCUGUGGACAGGACACUUGUUAGGUUCCACCACCACGGCUUUGCCAUCAAAGAAUUUAACCUGAGUAUGAUGUUCUUCCAUCCUCGGUUCAUGCCACAUCUCGUCGACCGGUGGAUGAAGAUAGUAGGUGAAAGUAGCAGUAUUCAGGUGCUAAAGCUUGAACUUGAACUUGCUGACUGUUACUUUGGAUGUGAGUUUGACUCACACGCCGUUGAUAAUUAUUACUACUUGCCACCAGAUAUACUGAAAGCCAAGUCAUUAACUGAAUUAGUGUUGUCAGGGAAGAUUAGAGCAGACAAAUUGAUUGUAAAUCACAGAAUUAGGUUCCCUAUGUUGCGGAUAUUGUCCUUAGUUGAUGUUUAUUUGGGACAUGAACAAGCUCUUGAAGAUCUCAUUUCUGGUUGUCCUAUGAUUGAGGAAUUAAUAUUGGAGCACUGUGUUGGAUUGGAAAAUGUAAAAGUACAUGAUUUGCCUAAGCUAAAGUCUGCUAAGUUAUCUGGAUUUCGUGAAAUUCAUGUUAAUGUGCCGAGUCUAGAGUGUCUUCAUCUUGGUAAUGACCAAUUAGAGUUCCCUUGUGAUAUCAGUAUAGACAAGUGCAGAAAUUUGAAGGUGUUUAUUUUAGAGGCUGUGAGUUCUGUUUUUGUCUCUAACCAAUGGUUGCGUGAACUUUUUGACAAGUUUCCUUUCCUUGAGACGUUGGAAUUAAGUGGUUGUGUUACAUCUGAGAGCCUAAUGAUCUCCAGUUCUAGGCUCAAGGUUUUGUCCUUCCAGGCUUGCUUUGAGUUGAAGGAAGCUAAGAUCGAUGCACCGAAUUUAGAGUCAUGUAGAUAUUCUGGACAAUCCAGCCACAUGCCAGCAGCUAUAUCUUUUGUGAAUUGUUCAAAUCAGGUGGAUUUUGAUGUUGUCUUCCCAAUAGAAUUUCGUAUGGAUUUGAAAAGGCUUAGGGCAUUUCUCCAAAACAUAGCACCA